AGGGGUCAUGCGCUGGUUGUUGCAUCAUGGCACCAGACAUAGGAGCUGGUUCCCAUGGAUUAUAGCUCAUAUUUUGGUUGCUUCUUCUGAUUGCAUCAUCGUACAGGCUGUCCAGUGUAAGCUUGUCAAGUCCUCCGGCCUUUCAAUUAAUACAUUUAAAAUAGUAUCAGUUAGACAUAUAUGUUAUGUUAUUUAUGUAUGAGUGGACACACAUGUUUAUAAUCCUGGACAAAACCAUUACAGUGUAAUAUGUGACAGCCUUGUAAUAUAGCACACAAUUUGAAAGGUUCAUAGAGGAGAGACAACGGAAGUAAAAGUACCAGUUUGCUAGCAGCAGCAGCAC
rnacentral:lncRNA from 1 species